rnacentral:rRNA from 1 species
AUUGAACGCUGGCGGCAUGCCUUACACAUGCAAGUCGAACGGUAACAGGUCUUCGGAUGCUGACGAGUGGCGAACGGGUGAGUAAUACAUCGGAACGUGCCCGAUCGUGGGGGAUAACGAAGCGAAAGCUUUGCUAAUACCGCAUACGAUCUACGGAUGAAAGCGGGGGAUCUGCGGACCUCGCGCGGACGGAGCGGCCGAUGGCAGAUUAGGUAGUUGGUGGGAUAAAAGCUUACCAAGCCGACGAUCUGUAGCUGGUCUGAGAGGAUGAUCAGCCACACUGGGACUGAGACACGGCCCAGACUCCUACGGGAGGCAGCAGUGGGGAAUUUUGGACAAUGGGCGCAAGCCUGAUCCAGCCAUGCCGCGUGCAGGAUGAAGGCCUUCGGGUUGUAAACUGCUUUUGUACGGAACGAAAAGGUGCCUUCUAAUACAGGGCGCUCAUGACGGUACCGUAAGAAUAAGCACCGGCUAACUACGUG